rnacentral:rRNA from 1 species
GUGAGGAAUUUUCCGCAAUGGGCGAAAGCCUGACGGAGCAAUGCCGCGUGAAGGAUGAAGGCCUAUGGGUUGUAAACUUCUUUUCUCAGAAAAGAAUUAUGACGGUAUCUGAGGAAUAAGCAUCGGCUAACUCUGUGCAAGCAGCCGCGGUAAGACAGAGGAUGCAAGCGUUAUCCGGAAUGAUUGGGCGUAAAGCGUCUGUAGGUUGUUUAAAAAGUAUUCUGUCAAAGAUUAGGGCUUAACCCUAGAUAGUCAGAAUAAACUUUUAAGCUAGAGUUUGGUAGAGGCAGAGGGAAUUCCCGGUGGAGCGGUGAAAUGCGUAGAUAUCGGGAGGAACACCAAAGGCGAAGGCACUCUGCUGGGCCAAUACUAACACUGAGAGACGAAAGCGAGGGGAGCAAAUGGGAUUAGAAACCCUGGUAGUCC